UACGAAGGGGGCUAGCGUUGUUCGGAUUUACUGGGCGUAAAGCGCACGUAGGCGGAUUGUUAAGUGAGGGGUGAAAUCCCAGGGCUCAACCCUGGAACUGCCUUUCAUACUGGCAAUCUCGAGUCCGGAAGAGGUGAGUGGAACUCCUAGUGUAGAGGUGGAAUUCGUAGAUAUUAGGAAGAACACCAGUGGCGAAGGCGGCUCACUGGUCCGGUACUGACGCUGGAGGUGCGAAAGCGUGGGAGCAAACAGG
rnacentral:rRNA from 1 species